CCUACGGGUGGCAGCAGUGGGGAAUAUUGGACAAUGGGCGAAAGCCUGAUCCAGCCAUGCCGCGUGUGUGAAGAAGGCCUUCGGGUUGUAAAGCACUUUCAGUGGGGAAGAAAGCCUUGGGGCUAAUACCCUCGAGGAAGGACAUCACCCACAGAAGAAGCACCGGCUAACUCCGUGCCAGCAGCCGCGGUAAUACGGAGGGUGCGAGCGUUAAUCGGAAUUACUGGGCGUAAAGCGCGCGUAGGCGGUCUGAUAAGCCGGUUGUGAAAGCCCCGGGCUCAACCUGGGAACGGCAUCCGGAACUGUCAGGCUAGAGUGCAGGAGAGGAAGGUAGAAUUCCCGGUGUAGCGGUGAAAUGCGUAGAGAUCGGGAGGAAUACCAGUGGCGAAGGCGGCCUUCUGGACUGACACUGACGCUGAGGUGCGAAAGCGUGGGUAGCGAACAGGAUUAGAUACCCCUGUAGUC
rnacentral:rRNA from 1 species